UUUUUUAAAAUUUUAGAGGAGUUUAUUCUAUAAUGGACUCAACCCCAAAACCUUACUUAACUUUGUAUUAUAUAAAUCAACUUGUAUACCUCUAUAGCUUAAAUAAAAAAAUUUAUUAUCAAAUCCUUAUAUAAGGAUUAAAUUAAGUCAAGGUGCAGUAUAUGAUUAAGAAUGAAAUAAACUAUAUUAAUAUAUUAUUAAAUCAAAAAUUAACUUUAAAUUAAAUUAAAUUAAGAAAAAUUUAAAAGUAAAUUUUAAUUAUACUUUAAAUUUGAAUAAAAAAUAAUGAGUGUACAUAUUGCCC
rnacentral:rRNA from 1 species